rnacentral:rRNA from 1 species
AGAGUUUGAUCCUGGCUCAGGACGAACGCUGGCGGCACGCUUAACACAUGCAAGUCGAACGAGAGAAGAGGAGCUUGCUUUUCUGAUCUAGUGGCGGACGGGUGAGUAACACGUGAGCAAUCUGCCUUUCAGAGGGGGAUACCGAUUGGAAACGAUCGUUAAUACCGCAUAACAUAAUUGAACCGCAUGAUUUGAUUAUCAAAGAUUUAUCGCUGAAAGAUGAGCUCGCGUCUGAUUAGCUAGUUGGUAAGGUAACGGCUUACCAAGGCGACGAUCAGUAGCCGGACUGAGAGGUUGAUCGGCCACAUUGGGACUGAGACACGGCCCAGACUCCUACGGGAGGCAGCAGUGGGGAAUAUUGCACAAUGGAGGAAACUCUGAUGCAGCGAUGCCGCGUGAGGGAAGAAGGUUUUAGGAUUGUAAACCUCUGUCUUCAGGGACGAAAAAAGACGGUACCUGAGGAGGAAGCUCCGGCUAACUACGUGCCAGCAGCCGCGGUAAUACGUAGGGAGCGAGCGUUGUCCGGAAUUACUGGGUGUAAAGGGAGCGUAGGCGGGAUCGCAAGUCAGAUGUGAAAACUAUGGGCUUAACCCAUAAACUGCAUUUGAAACUGUGGUUCUUGAGUGAAGUAGAGGUAAGCGGAAUUCCUAGUGUAGCGGUGAAAUGCGUAGAUAUUAGGAGGAACAUCAGUGGCGAAGGCGGCUUACUGGGCUUUAACUGACGCUGAGGCUCGAAAGCGUGGGGAGCAAACAGGAUUAGAUACCCUGGUAGUCCACGCCGUAAACGAUGAUUACUAGGUGUGGGGGGACUGACCCCUUCCGUGCCGCAGCAAACGCAAUAAGUAUCCACCUGGGGAGUACGACCGCAAGGUUGAAACUCAAAGGAAUUGACGGGGGCCCGCACAAGCAGUGGAGUAUGUGGAUUAAUUCGAAGCAACGCGAAGAACCUUACCAGGUCUUGACAUCGUAUGCAUAGCUCAGAGAUGAGUGAAAUCUCUUCGGAGACAUAUAGACAGGUGGUGCAUGGUUGUCGUCAGCUCGUGUCGUGAGAUGUUGGGUUAAGUCCCGCAACGAGCGCAACCCUUACUGUUAGUUGCUACGCAAGAGCACUCUAGCAGGACUGCCGUUGACAAAACGGAGGAAGGUGGGGAUGACGUCAAAUCAUCAUGCCCCUUAUGACCUGGGCCUCACACGUACUACAAUGGCUGUCAACAGAGGGAAGCAAAGCCGCGAGGUGGAGCGAACCCCUAAAAGCAGUCUUAGUUCGGAUUGUAGGCUGCAACCCGCCUACAUGAAGUCGGAAUUGCUAGUAAUCGCAGAUCAGCAUGCUGCGGUGAAUACGUUCCCGGGCCUUGUACACACCGCCCGUCACGCCAUGGGAGUCGGUAACACCCGAAGCCUGUAGUCUAACCGCAAGGAGGACGCAGUCGAAGGUGGGAUUGAUGACUGGGGUGAAGUCGUAACAAGGUA